AACGCACCUUGCGCUCCUUGGUAUUCCGAGGAGCACGCCUGUUCGAGUGUCGUGAAGUUCUCAAGCUAGAUGGCUUUAUUGUCAUCUUAGUUUGGAUUUGGACUCUUGCCAUUGCCAUUUAGUUGGUAGCGGCUGGUCUUAAAUGUAUUAGCUGGCUCUUGUUGUGGGAUUUGGUUCUACUCAGCGUGAUAAUUACUCAUGACCGUUGAGGACAUCUUCUUUCGGGAGGGUGGCCAGAACUCAUCUAGAGUUGCUUCUAAUCCUCCGAAGCUUUCGGGCUGACGAACUUUUCAACCUUUUGACCUCGAAUCAGGCGGGACUACCCGCUGAACUUAA
rnacentral:misc_RNA from 1 species